CCUACGGGAGGCAGCAGUGAGGAAUAUUGGUCAAUGGACGAGAGUCUGAACCAGCCAAGUAGCGUGAAGGAUGACUGCCCUAUGGUUUGUAAACUUCUUUUAUAUGGGAAUAAAACGUUCCACGUGUGGGAUUUUGUAUGUACCAUAUGAAUAAGGAUCGGCUAACUCCGUGCCAGCAGCCGCGGUAAUACGGAGGAUCCGAGCGUUAUCCGGAUUUAUUGGGUUUAAAGGGAGCGUAGGUGGAUUGUUAAGUCAGUUGUGAAAGUUUGCGGCUCAACCGUAAAAUUGCAGUUGAAACUGGCAGUCUUGAGUACAGUAGAGGUGGGCGGAAUUCGUGGUGUAGCGGUGAAAUGCUUAGAUAUCACGAAGAACUCCGAUUGCGAAGGCAGUUCACUGGACUGCAACUGACACUGAGGCUCGAAAGUGUGGGUAUCAAACAGGAUUAGAUACCCUUGUAGUC
rnacentral:rRNA from 1 species